UUUUUUUUUUAUUGCAAAUAUAUUUUUCAUAUAUUUCUCCGUUAUUUAGAAAUAUUUCUACGAUUAGUGUCCGUUAAGUCAUAUCGGAUUAAAUCUGAGUUAAGUUUCUACCGUAGUUAAAAAAAAAUUAUCUAUUUUGUCCGUAACUUAAGUGCAAAUAAGAAAAAUUGAUGAGGUAGAAGAGUAUAUUUGAAAAAACAAAAAGUCAAAACACUUUUUUUGCCCUAAACUUAGAAGACAAAUAAGAAAAGUUGGUGAUGAUAAAAGAGUAUAUUUAAAAGAGUAAAAUAGUAAUUUCAUAGAGAUAAUGACUGUUACUAAUAAAACCCUGACAGAAUUUAACUCUCUCUCUCUCUCUCCCCCUCUAUAUAUAUAUAGAACUAGGCUGGAAUACUAUCAAUAGCACAAAGCUAUUGGUGCUAUUAGUUUUUUAGCCCUUGGAUUGAGAAAUGUGAGGUUAGGAUGAUGUGGGCCCCCAAGGGUUGAGUGGGUGGUUGGUUGAAUAGUAUAAUCUAACAGGUAAAAAUAAUGAAAGCACGGAGCUAGAGUGACGCUACUAUGCUUCUGGAAGCACGGAGCCUUCCGUGCUUCUAAGUCAUUUUUGAUGUUGCGACUUUCGAAUCGUCGAUCGGCUCCAUUAAACUUGAUUUAGAGUAUUUGAAGUACCUAGACAAUAAAUUUUGUAAUUUUUCGAUAUCAUUUGCCUAGUGAACUAAGGGGCUCAAAAUCAACGGCUGAAAAUAAAAAUCUUACAAAACGUGAUAAUAUAACAUUAAAAUUUUAGAUCAAAGAUAUUGAUCUUGUUUUAUAUAGUAUAAAGAAUUUUCUAUCAAAAUUUCACGUGAUUUGGAUAUUUCUACAUCGUUAAACUUGCAAACGGCUCACCGCGGCCAUUAAAAUUAUUGAUUUUGAGUCUCUUCCAUCACUAGGCAAAUGAUAUCAAAAAAUCAUAAAAUUUAUUUUCUAAGUACUUCAUAUACUCUAAAUCAAGUUUAACGGAGCCAAUCGACGAUUCGAAAAUCGCAACAUCGAAAACGACCUGGAUCUGUACUUCCAGAAGCAUAGUAGCCUCACUCUAUAUA
rnacentral:lncRNA from 1 species